CAACUUUUUUGAGACAGGAGGAAAAUUAGCGUAUGUCUAGAUUGAUGAGUAUAGGCGCAAAUUAUGACUUAAUUGAGAAAUUUGGUUAAAAUGGCUUUAAUUUUUAUACUUAAUUUGAUUUAUACGGUUAUAUAAAAGUAGUAAUUAGUUUUUCUUUAUUCAUGAAUUGUGAGAUGAAGUAAUAGCUUUUAACUCUAACAAAUGUUUGUGCCAGCAGUUGCGGUUAUACAAAAGGGGUAACUUAAUUUUUAUGGUAUUAGUUAAUUAAUUUGUUGUUUAUAAAUAUUUAUUGAGAGGUGAAAUUUUAAUAGAAAUUAAAAUUUUAAUUAAAUGAACUAGGAAAAUUUUAAUUAUAAACCAGGAUUAGAUACCCUGUUAUUGAAAUUGUAAGUUUAAAUACUGGAUUAGUAUUAGAUAAGUACUUGAAAAUUAAAUAUCUUGGCGGUACUUUAACCUACCAGAGGAACCUGUCCUGUAAUUGAUAGUCCACAAUUUAUUUUACUUUUAUUAUUGCUUGUAUAUCGUUGUUGUAAUGAAAAUUUCAUGAGAAAUAAAAUUUUCUUUAUAUAGAAUUUUAUUAUAGAUCAAAUCAAGGUGCAGCAUUUAGAAGAAGAGAUGGGUUACAUUUAUAUAUUUAAAUUUGUAAAUUUUAUUUAAUUAGGAUUUGGUAGUAAUUGUAUUUAUUAAAAUAUAAUGAAUUGGGCUCUGAAGUAUGUACAUAUCGCCCGUCGCUUUCAUAUUUUUAUGAAAUAAGUCGUAACAUAGUAGAUUUAUCGGAAGAUGAAUCUAGAAUGGC
rnacentral:rRNA from 1 species